rnacentral:rRNA from 1 species
CAAUAGCGUAUAUUAAAGUUGUUGCAGUUAAAAAGCUCGUAGUUGGAUUUCGGGGCAGCCUGGCUGGUCCGCCGCAAGGCGAGUACUGGUCAGCCGCCCUUCCUCUCGAAAGCCCCGACUGCUCUUCGUUGCAGUGGUCGGGUAGUUCGGGACGUUUACCUUGAAAAAAUUAGAGUGUUCAAGGCAGGCCUACGCCUGAAUACAUUAGCAUGGAAUAAUGGAAGAGGACCUCGGUCCUAUUUUGUUGGUUUCCAGGGCCGAAGUAAUGAUUAAGAGGGACAGUUGGGGGCAUUCGUAUUUAAUUGUCAGAGGUGAAAUUCUCGGAUUUAUGAAAGACGAACAACUGCGAAAGCAUUUGCCAAGGAUGUUUUCAUUAA